rnacentral:rRNA from 1 species
UAACCUGCCUGGUAGCGGGGGAUAACUAUUGGAAACGAUAGCUAAUACCGCAUAAGAGUAGAUGUUGCAUGACAUUUGCUUAAAAGGUGCAAUUGCAUCACUACCAGAUGGGCCUGCGUUGUAUUAGCUAGUUGGUGAGGUAACGGCUCACCAAGGCAACGAUACAUAGCCGACCUGAGAGGGUGAUCGGCCACACUGGGACUGAGACACGGCCCAG